rnacentral:tRNA from 1 species
GGUCGGGUGGUGUAGUUGGUUAUCACAUCUCGUUAACAGUAUUACUGUGACACAAAACCGAGAAGGUCCUGGGAUCGAACCCCAGCUUGAUCA